rnacentral:sRNA from 1 species
GUAGCUUCCUUGUCGUGUGGCCUCAGUCCUUCGCCGUCCCUCGCCGUCCUUCGCCAUCGCACGCCACCGCACCCCAUCUCUCGAAAUCUGCAGACAUCUUGAUUUUUCCCACGCUGUCUGUCAGGUCUCCGCCGCCACUCGACGCCAGGGCGCCGGGUGAGUCCACAGCAGGGCGCAUGGUCGGCUCCACUCUCACCAUCGGGGGAAACUGAGGCCCCGGGGAAGGCGGCCAGAGAGGUCAGGCCCUGUCCUUGGUGCAGUGUCUCGUCCUCUUUGCCGGAGUGAGCCCCCCAGGAUUCGCGUGUCCUCGGGAAAGACACUGGCGGGCCUUGUGGGCUGUGCUGCACCUCGGACGGCUUCGCACCAGCCAGCGCCCUCUCUCUCCUGCAGCACUCUGAUCUGCACCCCCUGAGGGGCUUCCACUGUCCGCGGGGUGAGAAUGCCCCUGGGAGUGUCACAUGACUGCCGCCCCAUGUGUGUGAGAGGCGUCCUCUGGGAGAGCAUGGAUCCUGAGGUCCCAGGAACAUCCCGAGAGCCAAGUUCCCAGAUGCCAGCCAAGGGCCAUCUGACCUGUUUUGAAUCUCAAUUUCCUGAUACAGAAAACAAAGGAUUGUCAGCUGACCUCUGUCCUGUGUGCCCAGUGGCCCCAGGUGACGUGUCUUCAAGAAGAGGCUGAGCUGCGGUGCUUGUAAGGCAGGGUCUCAUUCUGUCACCCAGGCUGGAGUGCAGUGGUGCAAUGAUGGCUCACUGCAGCCUCGACCUGGGCUCAAGUGAUCCUCCACCUCAGCUUCCUGAGUAGCUGGGACCACAGGUCUCAGCCUUAGAUCCAAGGACAGUCCAAGGAAGUCCUAAGACCAUGGAGUUGGUGAUCUAGGAUCUGGGUUUGCUGAUAUUUCUCACCGUGAAUCUCUUGGUGGUGUUUGUGGGCACGAGAGGGGCAGAGAAUGGAGAGUGAGGCUACCACAUGAAGCGUCACCAGAGCUGCUCCCUGCUGCCUGCUCAGAGCACCCCGGAUCCACUGUUCAAUCUGCACAAGAUUCGGGGUCCAGACAUGGGAGACUUCAGCUGCCUCAGAGGACCGUGGACAGGGAAGGCCAGCCUCGCAUCCCUCUGUCCAUGCCUGGAAUGACUUUAAUAACCAAGAGUUUUAUUUUUGAAUUUGUAGCUGUCGUUCACUUUUUACCCACCCAUUCAAUAAACCUUACAGAAUUGCUC